UGUCAGUUCUUUCUGUUCUACAAAACCCUCUAUGUAGAAAGAACUUUAAUUUCAGUUAAUUUGAAGUUGACGGCGUUUUGCUUCUCACUUGCACCACCAGAGUCAGUCUGUGAUUUGCAUCCUACUUGCGCGCACACAACAACUUUUGCAGAACUUCCCCAUAAGUCUUUGCGAAAACAUAAAAAAAUUUCUUGGAUAGUUGUUGGUUUUCACUGGGUCCAGAAGCGACAUGAAACGCUAUCAUAAACGCCAACGGAAAAACGUAUUAAAAUUUUUCUUGGAUAGUUGUUGGUUUCCACUGGAUCCAGAAGCGACAUGAAACGCUAUCAUAGACGCCAAUGGAAAAACGUAUUACUCGGAUGAACCGAAAACAGUUUGCAAAAAACAGUGGCCGGAAAUGAUGGAGGUGGUAUUCGAAAAUUCAUUACUGUACUCGCCUUUAAACUUUGAAUUGAAGUUCAAUAAAUUAUCAACUCAAAUAAAAUCUCAUUCAAUUUGAAAGAAAAUAUCCCUGCUUCUUAAUUCCUAAUUGAAAUUUUGAUUUUUUCCUAUUUUAUGUGAUUUUAACAUACUUUCAAG